AUUGAACGCUGGCGGCAUGCUUUACACAUGCAAGUCGAACGGCAGCACGGACUUCGGUCUGGUGGCGAGUGGCGAACGGGUGAGUAAUACAUCGGAACGUACCCAGUAAUGGGGGAUAACUAUCCGAAAGGAUAGCUAAUACCGCAUACGCCCUACGGGGGAAAGAGGGGGAUCGCAAGACCUCUUGUUAUUGGAGCGGCCGAUGGCUGAAUAGCUAGUUGGUGAGGUAAAGGCUCACCAAGGCGACGAUCAGUAGCGGGUCUUAGAGGACGAUCCGCCACACUGGAACUGAGACACGGUCCAGACUCCUACGGGAGGCAGCAGUGGGGAAUCUUGGACAAUGGGCGCAAGCCUGAUCCAGCAAUGCCGCGUGCGUGAAGAAGGCCUUCGGGUUGUAAAGCGCUUUUGUCAGGGAGCAAAUCCUUGUGGCUAAUACCCACCGGGGAUGAGAGUACCUGAAGAAUAAGGACCGGCUAACUACGUGCCAGCCGCCGCAGUAAUAC
rnacentral:rRNA from 1 species